rnacentral:rRNA from 1 species
AACGAACGCUGGCGGCAGGCUUAACACAUGCAAGUCGAGCGCCCCGCAAGGGGAGCGGCAGACGGGUGAGUAACGCGUGGGAACGUACCUUUUGGUUCGGAACAACUCCGGGAAACUGGAGCUAAUACCGGAUAAGCCCUAACGGGGAAAGAUUUAUCGCCGAAAGGUCGGCCCGCGUCUGAUUAGCUAGUUGGUGAGGUAACGGCUCACCAAGGCGACGAUCAGUAGCUGGUCUGAGAGGAUGAUCAGCCACACUGGGACUGAGACACGGCCCAGACUCCUACGGGAGGCAGCAGUGGGGAAUAUUGGACAAUGGGCGCAAGCCUGAUCCAGCCAUGCCGCGUGAGUGAUGAAGGCCUUAGGGUUGUAAAGCUCUUUUGUCCGGGAAGAUAAUGACUGUACCGGAAGAAUAAGCCCCGGCUAACUUCGUG